rnacentral:rRNA from 1 species
AACUUAAAGGAAUUGACGGGUCCCCGCACAAGCAGCGGAGCGUGUGGUUUAAUUCGUUGCUACACGAAGAACCUUACCUGGGUUUGACAUAGCAGUGGUAGGGAAGCGAAAGCGGACCGACCCUUCGGGGAGCUGUUACAGGUGUUGCAUGGCUGUCGUCAGCUCGUGUCGUGAGAUGUUCGGUUAAGUCCGCUAACGAGCGCAACCCGCGUUGUGUGUUACAAGUGUCACACAAUACCGCCGGUAUUAAGUCGGAGGAAGGUGCGGAUGACGUCAAGUCAGCAUGACCUUUAUAUCCAGGGCUACACACACGCUACAAUGGUCGGCACAAUAGGUUGCCAAGUCGCGAGACGGAGCCAAUCCUCCAAAGCCGGCCUCAGUUCAGAUUGCAGGCUGCAACUCGCCUGCAUGAAGUUGGAGUUGCUAGUAAACGCAGGUCAGCUAUACUGCGUUGAAUACGUUCCCGGGGAUU